rnacentral:rRNA from 1 species
CCUACGGGGGGCUGCAGUGGGGAAUAUUGGACAAUGGGGGCAACCCUGAUCCAGCCAUGCCGCGUGUGUGAAGAAGGCCCUCGGGUUGUAAAGCACUUUCAGUGAGGAAGAACGCCUGGUGGUUAAUACCCAUCAGGAAAGACAUCACUCACAGAAGAAGCACCGGCUAACUCCGUGCCAGCAGCCGCGGUAAUACGGAGGGUGCGAGCGUUAAUCGGAAUUACUGGGCGUAAAGCGCGCGUAGGUGGCUUGAUAAGCCGGUUGUGAAAGCCCCGGGCUCAACCUGGGAACGGCAUCCGGAACUGUCAAGCUAGAGUGCAGGAGAGGAAGGUAGAAUUCCCGGUGUAGCGGUGAAAUGCGUAGAGAUCGGGAGGAAUACCAGUGGCGAAGGCGGCCUUCUGGACUGACACUGACACUGAGGUGCGAAAGCGUGGGUAGCAAACAGGAUUAGAUACCCCAGUUC